rnacentral:rRNA from 1 species
GACGAACGCUGGCGGCGUGCUUAACACAUGCAAGUCGAGCGGUAAGGCCCUUCGGGUACACGAGCGGCGAACGGGUGAGUAACACGUGGGUGACCUGCCUUUAGCUCUGGGAUAAGCCUGGGAAACUGGGUCUAAUACCGGAUAUGACCUCAUGAUGCAUGUUGUGGGGUGGAAAGCCUUGUGCGGCUGGAGAUGGGCCCGCGGCCUAUCAGCUUGUUGGUGGGGUGAGGCCUACCAAGGCGACGACGGGUAGCCGGCCUGAGAGGGCGACCGGCCACACUGGGACUGAGACACGGCCCAGACUCCUACGGGAGGCAGCAGUGGGGAAUCUUGCGCAAUGGGCGAAAGCCUGACGCAGCAACGCCGCGUGAGGGAUGACGGCCU